CCCGGGCCGCCUGCAGGGCGCGCCGCGUCCCGUCCGGUCCCGUCCCGUUCCGUCCCGUCGGGUCCCAGCCCCGCCAACUCUCACCCUGCCCGGCCCUUCCAGCGGAUCCACUUGCAGCCCCCGACCCCUGACUUGGUCCCCGAGGUCGGGGCUCGGUGGGAAGGAAAGCGAGGGGCUUCCCGGAAAGAAAGGGAGGAGGAGGCAGGAGGAGGCAGACGCCGAGAGAGGAGAAAAGGAGGCCAGAGGCAGAGGGAAAAGGAGGAGGGCAAGAGAAUCCUAGAGCGGGAAGAGCGUGGGCUCUGCGGGACGUGGGCGAGAGGUUACCAGGGAAAGAAUGGACAUUGACGGCAGAGAGCAAGUUUAGCCUGGAGAGGAGGAAUUGAGUGAGCAAAGGGGGUAGUCUGGGGUGCGAUGCACAGAAAGGCCCGUCCAGGGUAACCUUCACGUCUCCGUAUCCGUUGCUGUCGACUUUCCAGAGCCUUUGUUCCCAGUGACGUCCCUAUUGCAAUGGAGGGACACACUUCACUUUCCCCAGCCCCCCACCUCGAGAAUUUCUCUCACCCUCCCACCCUGCGGGGCCGCAGAGCUUGCUCCUCACGGCAGGAGUUGGAGCCCUGACGCUUGCCUUCACCUAGUUUUUGUUUGGUUUGGUUUGGCGUUGAUGGGACAAAGUCAGCCAAACUACUUUGCCAUCAGCAGAGAAGUGAAUGAGAUGCUGCUUUAUCCAAUCUACUGACUUUGGAAAAUCCAGCUGAAAUGAGGAAAGAUAAUCGUGCAUGUCUGGCAACCAGGUAAUUUCUUUCCUAUCUUUCAUGUCACAGUAUUUUGAGGACACAAAUUCCUAAAUACUCAGAAAAAAAUGGUUUUAUCUUAAUUGAUUUAUAAAUUAUGUUAGGGUAGUUGUUAAACAGAAUUUUGUCAAAGAAGCAGUACACUGUAACACUUUCAGGCUCCCAUUGGUUUAAAAUUUGAUAAGUGUAUUUCUUUGCUGACAAGUCAAACUGUUCAAAUGUUAUGGAGGACUAAAAAGGCCUGGGAUUCACAGGCUCAUUUUUUGUUUUAACUGAAUCAUGAAAAUACACAACUUUUUUUUUUCCAGGAAAGACAGAUGUUAUUUACCACCAAUGAAUUUUUAUCAUAUUUAAAUGAACUUGAAAAUGUCAUUCAACUCAAAUCCCUCAAUCAACUUACUUCAGCCCAUUCUGAAACUUCAUAUUGCAGCAAACCAGCCAUGUGAAAGAAAUAAAUUCAAUUUUGACUUUCAAAAAAAAUAAAUGCUGCAUAAGUUACCCUUGUGGACCUUAGCUAUUAAGGUGGACAAUGACUUUAUUUUCUUUACGUAAGUUUUAUAUUUUAUUAUGACAUUCAUUUUUUCUACAUGAAGACACAAAUAAAAAUUAUACCAACUACAUAAACUAUUUU
rnacentral:lncRNA from 10 species